UUCACACGUUGCAACUAGUUGUAUAAAACUUGUGGCAUGCAUCAAAUUUCACAGUGUGAACAGGGGAGUUGGACAGAUUUUUGUUGCAUGCAACAAGUUGCAAGCGAGUUGCAAGGAAUAGAACUUGCUCUAUUUCCAUGCGACAAGUUGUACGGUUCUGGCCAAUCAGAUCGCGUUUCGUAGUCACGUGGUAUUUACGCAGACAUCAAACAUGGCGAUACCACAACAACGGACGACACAACAACGCCGGAAAAAUGUUAAAGAAAGAAUUGACCUCAGCAACCAUGACAUUGAAAGGUUUAUUUCAUACUACCAUUCCCACGAGUGUCUUUGGAAUGUGUCUAGUUCGUUUUAUUCAAAACGGGAACACAGACAGGCCGCCUACGUUUCCAUUUCCGAACUGAUGAACGGUGUUAUGACAGCGGAUCAGGUCCCAGUUAAGAUUUCUGCUCUGCGGACCUACUAUUGCAAGGAACUAAGGAAGGAAACCCUCUCCCGGAAAAGUGGGGCUGGUCGAGAUGAUAUUUAUGAGUCUACCUGGGAAUGGUUUAAGCUGUUGGAUCCUUUUCUUAGAAGCCAGGUUCAUCAAAAAAACAACUAUAAGUAACUUGGAAACCAACAUACUGUCAACUGAGCAGGAUGGACCCAGUCAAGUGGAACAAGUGGUUCAAGAGGAGGAAAAUGUGGAACCAGACAAUGCGCAGGCUGAAACCAUGGAUUGUACUCCACCACCCCCAUCUAAAAGAAAGCGACAGGACAGUGUUCCCCUCCAAGUUUUGGCUACUCUUAAGUCAAUUGAAAACAGAAGAUCACAAAGUGAAAAUAAUGGAGAACUAUGUUUUGCCAAAUAUUUGGCUUCAGAGAUGGCCCGAGUUUCCAAUCUAAGUAAAAGGAAUGAAUUGAAAAUUAAAGUUCAACAACUUAUUUUUGAAUAUCAAAAUGAAGAAUAAGAUUUUAUAUGUAUUAUGCACAUGCCAUCUGUCCUUAAUGAUAACUCAUUGAGAUAAUUAUAUGAAGCUUGACUUGAAAUCCUAAUAUAUGCAAAGAAUAUGUAUUUCAGGUCAGCUGCAAAGCUUUUUCCCAAGACAUUUGUCAGCCAGUUUAAAUAAUAAAUUAUAAUUCAUGUUA